rnacentral:rRNA from 1 species
UACGUAGGGUGCAAGCGUUAAUCGGAAUUUCUGGGCGUAAAGCGUGCGCAGGCGGUUUUGUAAGUCUGUCGUGAAAUCCCCGGGCUCAACCUGGGAAUUGCGAUGGAGACUGCAAGGCUAGAAUCUGGCAGAGGGGGGUAGAAUUCCACGUGUAGCAGUGAAAUGCGUAGAGAUGUGGAGGAACACCGAUGGCGAAGGCAGCCCCCUGGGUCAAGAUUGACGCUCAUGCACGAAAGCGUGGGGAGCAAACAGG